AAACAACAACUCCAUAAACUCAUUGCAAACCCAAACAACCAUACUAAUGAAUCCCAUAUCCCCAAGUCCUUACAAACCCAGAAUUCUAAAAUAUGAAAUAGCAAAAAGAGAAACUAUCAAGUGUCGAUCAAAUUGAGUGAGAGGGGGCCAUCAGUGAAGAGGACAAUAAUCAGAAAAAAAUUAUCAUUGACCAUUAACCAAACUAAAAGAUGGUAGCGAAGAUGAAGAUAUUUCAAGACUCUAACAACAAUGAAGAUAAAAGAGUUGAAUAUGAUAUAGAAGAUGAAGGCAAUACUCUAGAGGCAUUUCAAACGCAUUUCAAUUGAAGAUUAAGGGAGAAGAAAGGGAUGAGGAGAACUAAAGGGCGAGAGAGA
rnacentral:lncRNA from 1 species